CACUCCUACGGGAGGCAGCAGUGGGGAAUUUUGCGCAAUGGGGGAAACCCUGACGCAGCAACGCCGCGUGCGGGACGACGGCCUUCGGGUUGUAAACCGCUUUCAGCAGGGAAGAAAUUCGACGGUACCUGCAGAAGAAGCUCCGGCUAACUACGUGCCAGCAGCCGCGGUAAUACGUAGGGAGCGAGCGUUAUCCGGAUUCAUUGGGCGUAAAGAGCGCGUAGGCGGCCUCUCAAGCGGGAUCUCUAAUCCGAGGGCUCAACCCCCGGCCGGAUCCCGAACUGGGAGGCUCGAGUUCGGUAGAGGCAGGCGGAAUUCCCGGUGUAGCGGUGGAAUGCGCAGAUAUCGGGAAGAACACCGAUGGCGAAGGCAGCCUGCUGGGCCGCAACUGACGCUGAGGCGCGAAAGCUAGGGGAGCGAACAGGAUUAGAAACCCUAGUAGUCCCA
rnacentral:rRNA from 1 species